rnacentral:tRNA from 1 species
GCCUCGGUGGCUCAGCCUGGCUAGAGCGGCUGACUUGUAAUCAGCAAGUCGG